ACGAACCGUACGAACGUUAUUCGGAAUCACUGGGCUUAAAGGGUGCGUAGGCGGUCUGGUAAGUUGGGUGUGAAAUCCCUCGGCUUAACCGAGGAAUUGCGCUCAAAACUGCCAGACUUGAGGAAGUCAGAGGUGAGUGGAACUUAGGGUGGAGCGGUGAAAUGCGUUGAUAUCCUAAGGAACACCAGUGGCGAAAGCGACUCACUGGGGCUUUUCUGACGCUGAGGCACGAAAGCUAGGGGAGCGAACGG
rnacentral:rRNA from 1 species